CGUAGGGUGCAAGCGUUAAUCGGAAUUACUGGGCGUAAAGCGUGCGCAGGCGGUUUUGUAAGUCUGUCGUGAAAUCCCCGGGCUCAACCUGGGAAUUGCGAUGGAGACUGCAAGGCUAGAAUCUGGCAGAGGGGGGUAGAAUUCCACGUGUAGCAGUGAAAUGCGUAGAGAUGUGGAGGAACACCGAUGGCGAAGGCAGCCCCCCUGGGUCAAGAUUGACGCUCAUGCACGAAAGCGUGGGGAGCAAACAGGAUUAGAUACCCUGGUAGUCCACGCCCUAAACGAUGUCUACUAGUUGUCGGGUUUUAAUUAACUUGGUAACGCAGCUAACGCGUGAAGUAGACCGCCUGGGGAGUACGGUCGCAAGAUUA
rnacentral:rRNA from 1 species